rnacentral:rRNA from 1 species
GACGAACGCUGGCGGCGUGCUUAACACAUGCAAGUCGAACGGAAAGGCCCUGCUUUUGUGGGGUGCUCGAGUGGCGAACGGGUGAGUAACACGUGAGUAACCUGCCCUUGACUUUGGGAUAACUUCAGGAAACUGGGGCUAAUACCGGAUAGGAGCUCCUGCUGCAUGGUGGGGGUUGGAAAGUUUCGGCGGUUGGGGAUGGACUCGCGGCUUAUCAGCUUGUUGGUGGGGUAGUGGCUUACCAAGGCGUUGACGGGUAGCCGGCCUGAGAGGGUGACCGGCCACAUUGGGACUGAGAUACGGCCCGGACUCCUACGGGAGGCAGAAGUGGGGAAUAUUGCACAAUGGGCGGAAGCCUGAUGCAGCAACGCCGCGUGCGGGAUGACGGCCUUCGGGUUGUAAACCGCUUUCGCCUGUGACGAAGCGUGAGUGACGGUAAUGGGUAAAGAAGCACCGGCUAACUACGUG